rnacentral:lncRNA from 1 species
AGACUCUGCUCCUGCUAUGCUCCCACCUCACUCUUCCCUGAUUUCUCCUCCUGGCAUUCCAGCCUCCUGGACCCCAGUAUCUUCUUCAGACUGAGGAUUUGACUUCUGCUUGGUCUCCUAGGCAGCCCUAGGAACUAACACAGGCACCAACCGCACCAAGCAGGAUUCUGGAAGCUGAGGUUACAGUGGAGAAGGAAACAGACCAUGGAAUCUGUGAAAGGAGGUAGAAAGUCCAGAUCUGGCCGGGCACAGUGGCUCAUGCCUGUAAUACCAGCACUUUGGGAGGCUGAGGUGGGUGCAUCACCUGAGGUCAGGAGUUCAAGACCAGCCUGGCCAAUAUGGCAAAACCCUGUCUCUACUAAAAAUACAAAAAUUAGCCGGGUGUGGUGCAUGCAUUGUAGUCCCAGCUACUCGGGAGGCUGAGACAGGAGAAUUGGUUGAACCCUGGAGGGAGAAGUUGCAGUAAGCCAAGAUCGUGCCACUAUACUCCAG